rnacentral:rRNA from 1 species
GACGAACGCUGGCGGCGUGCUUAACACAUGCAAGUCGAACGGAAAGGCCCUGCUGUUGUGGGGUGCUCGAGUGGCGAACGGGUGAGUAACACGUGAGUAACCUGCCCUUGACUUUGGGAUAACUUCAGGAAACUGGGGCUAAUACCGGAUAGGAGCUCCUGCUGCAUGGUGGGGGUUGGAAAGUUUCGGCGGUUGGGGAUGGACUCGCGGCUUAUCAGCUUGUUGGUGGGGUAGUGGCUUACCAAGGCUUUGACGGGUAGCCGGCCUGAGAGGGUGACCGGCCACAUUGGGCCUGAGAUACGGCCCAGACUCCUACGGGCGGCAGCAGUGGGGAAUAUUGCACAAUGGGCGGAAGCCUGAUGCAGCAACGCCGCGUGCGGGAUGACGGCCUUCGGGUUGUAAACCGCUUUCGCCUGUGACGAAGCGUGAGUGACGGUAAUGGGUAAAGAAGCACCGGCUAACUACGUG